rnacentral:lncRNA from 1 species
AAGCAUUGACUUCAACUAUGGUUGCUAACACAAGAAUCGGCACUGGUGACUUUUGAGCCAUCAAUCAUCCUUUCCUAACACAUGAAUCUUUUGGAAAAUGGUCUCAAAUAGUCAAGACCCCCUGCUGGGAGGAGCUUCUAUCCUGCUCUGUGGAAGAAAUGGGCAUGCCAGAUGCCUGGAAGAUCAGAGGCUCACAUUCCAGGGUGGACCUCAAUAACAAUCAGAUAACAGUUGAGACAGCUGGUGAAAGAGAUGAGGAAGAACACUAAGCGAUUUCCCGGAAGACAGCAGAAAGAACAACCAGUACACAGGCUGAGGAUGUAAACAAACCCGCCAUGUUGUGGAAACCAGGAGGAGGCUCAUGUGCCCAAAAUGCAGUCAGUAGGAGAUAAGGUCAGAGAAGUAAGAAGGUGUCAACUCAAUAGGGCCUGGCAGCCCAUUGUAAUGACUGGGGCUUUCACACUGAGUGAAAGAUGGUAAGCAUCCAAGGGAGAAACAGGAGAGCAAUUAAAAGAGUGGCAAAAAUCUAGACUUGGAGAGUAAUUACCACCGAUUAUAAGAAGUGGUCAGGUUCCAGAUGUCUUCAAAGGCAGAGCCAACAGGAUUUGCCGGUGGAUUGCACGUGUAAUUGUGAAAGAAAUGAUGAUGUCAAACAUGACUCCAAAGUUUUUGGCCUGAGAAGCUGGAAGUUGCCAUUCUAAGACAGAAAAGACUGUAGAUCAAGCAGGUUCUGGAGGGGAUUUCAAUUCUACUCAUUUUAAGGUGAGAUGUCUACUUAAUAUCCAAGUGGAAAAAUAAGGUAGGCAACUGGAUAUACAGGGCUGGAAUUCAAAGAAGUCCAAACUGGUAAUAUACAUUUUGAGUCCUCAGCAUAAAGAUGGAAUUUAGAGACAUGUAACUGAAUGAGACCACCAAGGAAUCGGUGUAGGAAGAGAAGAGGUUGAAGAAUGGAAUCCUGAGGCAUUCCAGUGUCAAAAGAAGAAAUUGAGAAAAGCAGAUUGAGAAAUGUGGCCUCCUGGAAGCUGGAUGAAGAGAGUCUUCCUAGAAAGAGUGAAUGAUUGUUAUGUCAGCAUGCCCAGAAGUGGGGUAGGAUGAGGACUGGGAAGAGAGAAAGUCCUGAUUUGUAGAGUUUGCCAAUUUCCAUGGCGAAAAUACUCCCACCAGAGUUGAUU